UACAGAGGGUGCAAGCGUUAAUCGGAAUUACUGGGCGUAAAGCGUGCGUAGGUGGUUUACUAAGUCAGGUGUGAAAUCCCCGGGCUCAACCUGGGAACUGCGCUUGAUACUGGUAAACUAGAGUUUAGUAGAGGGAAGUGGAAUUCCACGUGUAGCGGUGAAAUGCGUAGAGAUGAGGAGGAACACCAGUGGCGAAGGCGGCCACCUGGACAGUAACUGACGCUGAGGCGCGAAAGCGUGGGUAGCAAACAGG
rnacentral:rRNA from 1 species